UGUGGAGGGAACGUGGGGAAGUGAAACAUCUCAUUACCCACAGGAAGAGAAAGCAACCGCGAUUCCGCGAGUAGUGGCGAGCGAAAGCGGAGGAGGCUAAACCGUGUGUGUGUUCAAGCCGGCAGGUGUUGCAUGUGCGGGGUUGUGGGGGCCUUGUGGUUCUGCUGCCGCAGGAUUGGCCAGUGAGAAAUGUUGCGUGAAGGUGAAGCGUCUGGGAAGGCGUACCGGAGUGGGUGAGAGUCCUGUAACUGUAAGCGUGGCACUGGUGUGGGGUUGCCCCGAGUAGCGUGGGACUCGUGGAAUUUCGCGUGAAUCUGGCGGGACCACCCGUCAAGCCUAAAUACUCCUUGGUGACCGAUAGUGGAUGAGUACCGUGAGGGAAGGGUGAAAAGUACCCCGGGAGGGGAGUGAAAUAGUACCUGAAACCGUGUGCCUACAAGCCGUGAGAGCCUUAUGCCGCUUCGGUG
rnacentral:rRNA from 1 species